UACGUAGGGGGCAAGCGUUGUCCGGAUUUAUUGGGCGUAAAGAGCGUGUAGGCGGCCAGACAGGUCUGCUGUGAAAACUCGAGGCUCAACCUCGAGACGCCGGUGGAAACCGUCUGGCUAGAGUCCGGAAAAGGAGAGUGGAAUUCCUGGUGUAGCGGUGAAAUGCGCAGAUAUCAGGAAGAACACCCGUGGCUAAGGCGGCUCUCUAGUACGGUACUGACGCUGAGACGCGAAAGCGUGGGGAGCGAACAGG
rnacentral:rRNA from 1 species